UCCUACGGGGCGCAGCAGUGAGGAAUAUUGGUCAAUGGGCGGGAGCCUGAACCAGCCAAGUCGCGUGAGGGAAGAAGGUACUGAGUAUUGUAAACCUCUUUUGCCAGGGGACAAAGGCGGCCACGGGUGGCCGUAAGAGGGUACCUGGAGAAAAAGCAUCGGCUAACUCCGUGCCAGCAGCCGCGGUAAUACGGAGGAUGCGAGCGUUAUCCGGAUUUAUUGGGUUUAAAGGGUGCGUAGGCGGAUCGUUAAGUCAGUGGUCAAAUUGAGGGGCUCAACCCCUUCCCGCCAUUGAAACUGGCGCU
rnacentral:rRNA from 1 species